GACGAACGCUGGCGGCGUGCUUAACACAUGCAAGUCGAACGGAAAGGCCCUGCUUUUGUGGGGUGCUCGAGUGGCGAACGGGUGAGUAACACGUGAGUAACCUGCCCUUGACUUUGGGAUAACUUCAGGAAACUGGGGCUAAUACCGGAUAGGAGCUCCUGCUGCAUGGUGGGGGUUGGAAAGUUUCGGCGGUUGGGGAUGGACUCGCGGCUUAUCAGCUUGUUGGUGGGGUAGUGGCUUACCAAGGCUUUGACGGGUAGCCGGCCUGAGAGGGUGACCGGCCACAUUGGGACUGAGAUACGGCCCAGACUCCUACGGGAGGCAGCAGUGGGGAAUAUUGCACAAUGGGCGGAAGCCUGAUGCAGCAACGCCGCGUGCGGGAUGACGGCCUUCGGUUUUUAAACCGCUUUCGCCUGUGACGAAGCGUGAGUGACGGUAAUGGGUAAAGAAGCACCGGCUAACUACGUG
rnacentral:rRNA from 1 species